rnacentral:rRNA from 1 species
AUACGUAGGGUGCAAGCGUUAAUCGGAAUUACUGGGCGUAAAGCGUGCGCAGGCGGUGAUGUAAGACAGAUGUGAAAUCCCCGGGCUCAACCCGGGAACUGCAUUCCAAACUGGGUUACUUGAGUGCAGGAGAGGAAAGCGGAAUUCCUAGUGUAGCGGUGAAAUGCGUAGAUAUUAGGAAGAACACCAGUGGCGAAGGCGGCUUUCUGGACUGUAACUGACACUGAGGCAUGAAAGCGUGGGGAGC